GUGAGUGCGUGACCAUGAGCU
rnacentral:siRNA from 1 species